rnacentral:lncRNA from 1 species
CACAGACCGAGAGAGAAAAAGGCUGUAGGCUUUAUUGAGCAGAUUGAAAGGACAAAGCUUCCACAGUGUGGAAGGGGUCCCGAGCGGGUAGCCAGAGUUAGAUUAUGUGACUGCCUUUUAAACUCUUUAAGGCCGGAAAUACGUGUGGCGAGAUGUUACCAGAGCGAGAAACAAAGGCAAUUAACCGUUUGUAACAUGUCUUAGAUCUUGAGGAAAACUGGAAUUGCAACUUAGGUUUUAUCUACUUUAUGAACUUGCAGCAGCAUGGCAAAGGAGACGGGAUCUUACAGGACUUUGUUACAAAGACCGAAGUAAGUCCUGAUGCAGGAAAUGAGUGACUUUCACAGCUUUCUGAGCCCCUACUCAACCCAGGAAGUCCAGCUGGCACCUCCUCUGGAUCACAAGGCACUUCAAGCUGGUGUGGGUGGACGUUCUUUCCUGUUGAAAAGAGAACAAAACCCUCAACAAGGAGCAGCUGGAGACAAACUUGGAGCGAGGAAAAGCAGAAAGUGUUGCGAAGCAUAAUCAUUUAAAUCACAGAUUAAGUCAACAUAAUAGCAGAGAAAAUGCAGGAAAUUCAAAAUGUUUGACUAUAGUGGCAACCUCACAGAGUCUUUUCUUUGGGAUCAACAGAGAAAAUGAGCUAAAUGAAUACAAUUUUAUAUCUCCUGACAUAGAAGUAAAGGAUUCAUGAGCAAAUGUUUUAUUUUAUACUAUAAUUUUUAAAAUAUUUCCUUUAAAUACAAAGCCUUAACCAACAAAAUGUAACCAUUAGCUUCAUGAAAAAC